UUAAGUGACGAUAGCCUAGGAGAUAAGCCUGUACCCAUGCCGAACACAGAAGUUAAGCCCUAGAACGCCGGAAGUAGUUGGGGGGUGCCCCCUGUGAGAUAGGGAAGUCGCUUAGC
rnacentral:rRNA from 1 species